UUUCAUUUUCAUUUUCAUUUUCAUUUCUUUAGACAGGCAACAGUGACUGCUCUGGGUUGAAGAAAUAAUAUGCCGAUCAAAAUCAGACACAUGAAAGGGGAUGGUACCUGCAGGAAUUAACCAUAGAUAGAGGAGCUAGAGUAUCUUAAGAGAACAAUAUAACUGAUAUUGUAUCAACUCUUGUGCUAGAAAGAAAGACAGAUAGAUGCUUCUACAUAUACAUAUUACAUCAUCCAAGUUCCUGAUCAUUGAAGCAUGCAGCAACUAUUUGUUAUUCAAACUGUUUUCAGGAACAAAAAAAUAAAGAAACAGUGAAGUGUCUUCAACAACAGGGAAUGAUGCUACUGUUGGAGCACAAUAAGAGGCUGAGACAAAAGGUAGAACCAGCUUGAGUAGAGUUUUCGGAAAAGAACCAAGGUACCAAGUGAUGAUUAUAUAUAUAUUUUUUUAAUAAAGCCUGCCAUGCAUGAUUUAACUACUGGAAGUGAAGAACAGCAAGUAAUGCAUGGGCUUCAGUGGAGUCAUGAGUGAUUGGCUACAUCCUUGAAUAAAUAAUAAAUGUGUAUCUGUGUAUUUCAAGCUGUGAAAUUGCUCAAAGCCUUAAAUGAUAAUACAUUUAUUAGCAAUCAAAAUGCAUGCAUGUUUCUUUAGUUGAAGGCAAACUGGGCAUCACUAUAGCCCAUGAAACAUGUCUGUCUGGGAAUCCUUAUUUUUUUCUUUUUAAA